GAGUGGAAUUAAUGAGGACGGUGCUUGUGAAGUUUCCUCCAUAGCUCUUUUGCAAUCAAUCAUUCGUCUGUUAUUAUGGGUAAAUGGUCGUCCAAAUCCAAAAUACACAACAGAUUAUAGGUUGAAUAUAUCUGUGUCUUACAAUCUAUUUCUUUCAUAUUUUCAGUUGUUCCAUUGUAUGCAUGCACAUUGGAAGGCAGAAAGUAAUGUUGGCUGGUCGCCAGAGAAGUAAAAAGGCCAACAUCUUGAGCUGUAUGGAGCAUGGUUGUUUUCUUAAAGUUUCUGAUGGAUUGUAUACCAUUGACUGAGAGGAAUCGUUCAUUCAUGAGAAUGGGACAAGAGCAUUGCUAGAUGGAAUUCGGCUGAGUGUAAGUACACAUGAGAGGUGUGUUUUCAUUGAUAGAGGAAGGGUGAGAGCAUGACACUUGUACAGGAAAAAGAAAGAAAUGGAAACCAAAAUUU
rnacentral:lncRNA from 1 species